rnacentral:rRNA from 1 species
UACAGAGGUCUCGAGCGUUGUUCGGAUUCAUUGGGCGUAAAGGGUGCGUAGGUGGCUAGGUAAGUCGGAUGUGAAAUCCCGGGGCUCAACCCCGGAACUGCAUUCGAUACUGCUUGGCUAGAGUACUGGAGAGGAGAUUGGAAUUUACGGUGUAGCAGUGAAAUGCGUAGAUAUCGUAAGGAAGACCAGUGGCGAAGGCGGAUCUCUGGACAGUUACUGACACUGAGGCACGAAGGCCAGGGGAGGCAACGGGAC